rnacentral:pre_miRNA from 1 species
AAUAUUUUUAACGAUUUUCUCUUUCAGGCAUCAAAGAAGUGUU